rnacentral:rRNA from 1 species
AGACGAAAAAGUAUUAUAUAAUUCUAAUUGACUAAACUUGAAUAAAACAUUUCAAAUUUAAGUAAUAUAGAGAGAAAAUUAAUUUAUAUAAAUGAAAGUAAUAGUACUGUAAAGGGAUGAUUUAAUCGCAUAAAAGCAGAGAAUGUAUUCGUACCUUUUGCAUCAUGGUUUAACUAGAUUUAGAUUUUAUUUAAAAUUUCUCGAAAUCUAAUGAGCUAUCUUAAUUCAUUAUUUUAGUAAUUAAAAAGUAAUUGUGAAAUAAAUUUUUUUAGAAGUGAAGAUAGAGAUGAAAUUUCUUUCGCAUUAGGUGAUAGCUAGUUUUUCCUCAAAGGUAUAUAAGUACUUAGACUUAAGUGUUAUUAGUUAAGAACAAUCAGGUAGCUUUAGGGUUAUUUAAUUAUUAAGGAUAAGCUUAAUGAUUUAAUAAAGUAGGUAUGUAUUUCUAGUUAGAUUUAGGUUUAAAAAUAGCUAUAAUUGUGAGUUUGUUAUAAUUCAUUUAUUAAUUAGAAUAUUAUAAUCUAUGAUAAAGGAAGGAAAUAAAUUUAUUAACAAAUAGGUAAAACAAAUUUAUGUUAGAAUGAGUAUUGGAUAUUUAAAUUAGUAACUAUAUAGUGGGCUUAGAUCACUAAAAGUUAUAUGCUAAGUGAAAUUUAAGUUAUAUUAAAUUACAUAAAGGAACUCGGCAAAACAUAUUCUGCCUGUUUAUCAAAAACAUGGCUCUUUGCUAUAUAUUUCGAAUAAAGAGUCGGACCUGCCCGGUGAUAUUUCAACGGCCGCAGUACUUUGACUGUGCAAAGGUAGCAUAAUCACUUGCCUUAUAAUUGAAGGCUGGAAUGAAUGGUUUGACAAGAAUAUAACUGUCUCUAUGUAAUUCUAUAAAACUUGAUUUUCAGGUGAAGAAGCCUGAAUUUAAUUGAAAGACGAGAAGACCCUAUCGAGCUUUAAAAGAAUUGGUAAAGAAAUAAUAUAAACAAUUUGAAAUUAAACUUACUAAAAAUUUUGGUUGGGGCGACAAAGGAACCUAAAAAGCUUCCUUUAACUAAGAGCUAUUGACAAAUAAAGAUCCAAAAUUAUUGAUUAAAGGAUAUAGUUACCGUAGGGAUAACAGCAUAAUUCUUUUUAAGAGACCAUAUCGAAAAAGGAGUUUGUGACCUCGAUGUUGGACCAAAAUAUCCUAAAGAUGCAGCAAUCUUUAAAGGUUGGUCUGUUCGACCAUUAAAAUUUUACGUGAUCUGAGUUCAGACCGGCGUGAGCCAGGUCAGUUUCUAUCUUCAAUUAUUUAAGUUAGGCUUAGUACGAAAGGACCAGUCUGCAAUAAUGAUUAUACAAAAUGAAAAUGUAUAAUAUG